GAUGAAGAACGUAGCGAAAUGCGAUAAGUAAUGUGAAUUUCAGAAUUCAGUGAAUCAUCGAAUCUUUGAACGCACAUUGCGCCCGCCAGCACUCUGGCGGGCAUGCCUGUUCGAGCGUCAUUUCAACCAUCAAGCCCCCAGGGGCUUGUGCUGGGGCCCUGCGGCUGCCCGCAGGCCCUGAAAACCAGUGGCGGGCUCGCUAGUCACACCGAGCGCAGUAGCACAUCUCGCUCAGGGCGUGCGGCGGGCUCCUGCCGUGAAACCCCCCACUGUAACCCCAAAGGUUGACCUCGGAUCAGGUAGGAAUACCCGCUGAACUUAAGCAUAUCAAUAAGCGGAGA
rnacentral:misc_RNA from 1 species